AGACCAGUCAGUCAACAGAAUGUGUACCUAAUGCUGUAUGUUAUAAUGGAGGAUCAGGAGCCAAGUGUACCUGUAAUACUGGUUACUAUGAUGAUAAUUUUGGUGCAACUGGUGGACAAUGUGUGGCAGUGCUACAGUCAGGAGUGACAUGUACCAGGGAAAAUGAUGCAACAGAAUGUGUACCUAAUGCUGUAUGUAAGAGUGGAGCUUGUACCUGUAAUACUGGUUACUAUGAUGAUAAUUUUGGUGGCAAUGGUGGACAAUGUGUGGCAGAAUUACAGUCAGGGGUAGACUGUUUGAAAGCAAACCUGCCAACAGAGUGUAUACCUAAUGCUGUAUGUCAAAGUAAUGGUAGCACAGGACUCCAGUGCACUUGUAACAGUGGAUAUUAUGAUAGUAACUUUGGCAAUAUAGGUGGAUCUUGUGUACAAGAGCUACAGUCAGGAGUGACAUGUACUCAGAAUAAUCAACCAACAGAAUGUGUACUUAAUGCUGUGUGUGAGAGUGAAGGAUCAGAACUGAAGUGUACCUGUUCCAGUGAUUAUUAUGACAGUAAUGGUAACAAUAAUGGUGGCACAUGUA